rnacentral:misc_RNA from 1 species
GGUGGAAUAAAAUAUAUUUUGAGCAAUUAACUUUCAGUGACCACAAGAAGAGGCGCCAUUAUCGACAAGCAAGAGAGACAUUUACUGCCAUCUCAACGGACGUAACAGCGAGGCAUGCAGGGUGGCAUAUACAUUUUGCUUUGUUGAGACUUGAGAGUUCAGCCAGCCUUCAGUUUUGAUGCUUUUUGUUUAACAAAAAAAGCUGAUAGCACACUUUUACUGCGAGCANNNNGGAGCACGUACCAUCUCUCGCCUUGGGUUAUCAAAUGACCUGAAUGCUGUCAAAGGCUUAGAACCCUCCA